UGUAAAGAUUGAUGUAGGGCAUGUCC
rnacentral:sRNA from 1 species